UAUUGUCCUAAUCUGAGGUCCUUUCCAAGUAUAAAAGGUGUGGCGUUACUUCUUCGAAGACUAACAAUAUCGUGUAGUAUUGAAGUUCUACCAACUGGGCUAGAAUCAUGUAUAUCUCUAUCGUCAUUGGAGAUAAGUGAGUGUCCAAAUCUGAUAUCAAUUCCAAAUCUACAGGAUUUGCAUUCACUUUCCUCUUUAACAAUUACAUCUUGUAAAAGAUUGAUGGGUUUGCCAGAUGGGUUAGACUGCCUCACUCGCUUGAAGGAUUUGACUAUUGGUGAGUUUUGUGAGGAGUUGGAUGCUUUCCCUAGUCUCAGUUCCAUCCAACACGCAUCCCUUGAAACACUAACAUUGUAUGGAUGGGCUAAACUCAACUCUCUCCCAGAAGAUAUUCAACGAUUUACUGCCCUAACACAACUCUGGAUAUGUAAUUUUGAACAGAUGGAAGCUUUGCCUGAGUGGUUGGGCUACCUUUCUUCUCUUCAAAACUUGUAUCUUUGGUAUUGCAUGAACCUGAUGUAUCUGCCGACAGCGGGAGCCAUGCAACACCUCACCCAUUUAGAUAUUGAUGAUUGCCCCAAAUUAAAGGAAAGAUGUGUGAAGGGAAGCGGAGCAGAGUGGCUCAAAAUUGCCCAUAUUCCAAAUAUCUCUAUCGACUGAAAACGGAUUAAAGGGUAGUUGUGCAUAUUGGUCCAAGACAGAUCAGAGUGGGAAAAAAAGAAAGAAAAAGGAAAGUUCUCUUCAAGAGCUGCAAAUGAUCAAAAUUCAAGGGCUGCUCACCAAAUUAGAGAAGUUGAAGAUGUAUUUGGUCAAAGUAAUACAAAAACAAUGCGAGGAUUCUUUGCCAUUCUAGCCUCAGUUUUCAAUCAGCCAAACUUUAACACCUAAGCACAUUCUUAGUUGGAGGAGUCAUAUUUUGAGAAUCUUUAUGCUGCAGAUAUGAGGCGUCAAUGGUAGCUUUUGAUUUGGCACAGGGUUAACUUUUUCUCUUUUCAAGAUCUGAAUUUUGGGUACAAGAAUUCUGCUUUCAGGGAACAGAGGAAGUGGACCAAUCCCUUACUAAAGAGAUGCUCACUUUACGGCAAAAGCUGAAUAUUUCUUGUUGGUUGCUGUCAGAAUGGUUGACGGUUGUUGAAUUACUAUCUGAGUGAAGUUCAUCAAAAUUAAGUGGUUGGGAAACCUUUUCUCUCUUCAACAUUUGGUACUUAUUUGGAUGCAAGUGGAUGCCAUGUAUUGGCUCACCAAUUUGCAACACCCAUUCAUUCAUAACUGCCUCAAGUUAAAUGAUAGAAGUGCUGAGAGUAUCAGCCAAUUCUGGUCCAAUGACAGGGAAUGGAUUAAAGAGGAAGCUGUUUGAAGUUAACACAUAUAUUAUUACAACAAUGUGUGUGGAAGACGUGGUAGUAUUUCAACCUAGGUCCUCUAAUGCAUGAACAGGUUAUUUGAUGGUUGUUAUCCAAUUGGGGGCUGAAAUGUAUUUAUCUGACACACAAGUUCAGGAUUCUUCACCAUUCUAAAGCCCUGUUCAAUCAGCCAAACUUUGACACCUAGGUGCAUUCUUAGUUUGAGGCGUCAUAUUUUUGAGCUGUGCAGAUGAGCUCUCAAUGGAAGCUUCUGAUUUGGUGCAUGAUUAAAUUUUUUCUCUCUCUUCAAGAGCUGAAUUUUGGGUACAAGAAUGCUACUUUUUGGUAGCAAAGGAAGAGAUCUAAUCCCUUACUAAAGAGAUGCUCUCCGGUGUUAUUCAGAGUGGUCGAUAAUUUGCCAGAAGUUAUUACCAUGUUAUGCUCACUUUACAGUAAAAGCUGGAUAUUUUUUAUUGGUUGCUGCCAGAAUGGUUAAUGAGUGCUCCCAGUCUAAUGGAGUGUUGAUUUGAGCGUUAUCUGGUUGAAGUUCAUCAAAAAUUGAGUGGUUGGGCAACCUUUUCUCUCUUCAACACUUUGUACUUAUUUGGACGCAAGAACCUUUUUUAUCUGGCCUAAAGUGGAUGCCAUGUAACAGCUCACCAAAUUGCAACACCUAUUCAUUCAUAACUGCCUCAAGAUAAAUGAUAGAAGUGCUGAGAGUUAUUGACCAAUUCUGGUCCAAUGACGAGGAAUGAAUUAAAGAGGAAGCUGUUUGAAGUUCACACAUAUAUUAUCACAACAAUGUGUGUCCAAACUAUAUUAUAUUCAGUUGGAAGAACAUUUAAUUAAUUUUAUGGAGUUUAAUAGAAGUUCGUCAAAGUUGGGGAAGAUUCUAUUAAGGAGCAGCAUAUAAGAAUUAUGUGAUUGCACAAAGCUGAUGCAUGUGCACCCAUGCAACGCCUCACCACAUUAUUACAUCAUCAAGAGGAAGGAUGCAGUAAAUGUAAUGCCUCAGGUUUUCUAGUAGCAUCUUGAAAUUUAUGUGAUAUCAGGAAAGGCUAGUGGAAGAUGUGGUACUUUCAACUUAGGUCCUCUAUUGUGCAAACAGGCAAAGGCAGGAAAAAGAUGGAAUAUGAGAUUUCCUGCUGAACUUGGUCAGGGCAGUAAGGCUAGGAACCAUUCAUUUUCUUCCCCUACUUAUUAUAAAUUCCUUCAAAAGUUUAUGAGUGGUGGGUGAUGUAGAACAGAGCUCAUUAGAAUUCAGUGUGCGGGAAAUUCAAGAAGUAGAAAAGUACUAUUAGAAAUUUGGUGACAUGAAGGGAAAUAGUGUUGGGAGUAAAACUCAUAGCCUUUGGCCACGAUUGAACAUGCUUUUUGGAAAGUAACGUGUUUGUUUUCUUGUAACUUCUGCAACAAUAGUGGGGCAGCUUCAAAUCUUUUCAAGAAAUGAAACCCAAGAACAAGAAUGCACUACCUUCCAAUAAAGAAAGACAAAAGAUUGGUCAUAAUCCAGAAAUCACAAAAGGCGGACUUACAAAUUGAUUCCAGUACUUUUUAUUCCUAAACUCACUAAGAAUUUGGAAAAUUGACUGCAAUAGGGAGUGUUGAUGACCUUGUUCGUGUUAUAUUGAAUUUUUCAGAAUCAUGUACACAUUUCUUAAUUUGCUCUUUUCCAUGUUUUUCAUUUUGAAACUUUUUUCUUUUCCAUUUCUAACGACAUACAUGGAUUUAUUCUUGGAUUACAGAUUGUGAAAUCUAAGUUUUCCCUAUUACUUAAGAUUCUCAUAUCCGGUCAAUGGAAAACAAACCUUCCCAAUUCCUUGUUAGAUUCUCUUCAGAGUUUCAAAAGUAAAUGCCCUUAAUACUAACCCUGCAUUGGGGUGUUAUCUGAGUUUGGUUGAAUAAUCUAGAUCUAUAUAAGACAGAAAAAUUAGUUGAUGUAUUCUUAGUGGAGCAUUUUAAUUUUUGUAAAGGAUGUCCGACAUUUCAGGCUACACUCAAAUCAAACAUUAUGUGUGCCUAAGCUCAAGUUGCUGCCUCAUCUACUUCAACAAUCGCAAUUGCAAGAAGUUGAGAUAUCUACCAGCAUGGGUGUGGUGCCUCACUAAAUAACAGAUGAUGCCAUGCUGUGUGCACUAUAAGGAAGUAUAACUUGAGAUUCAAAUCAAAUUAAACGAGAAGGUAAACAUCUUUUUUCUUUUGAGAUCAAAUUAUAAUGUUGGGUUAGCUGGAACCAUGACUUGAAUGUACCUGCAAAUGUCAAUUGGGUAUAUUAGGUAUCACUUCGACAAUGAAUCAAGAUUCCUGACAAUUUGUCUGCUGUUCAAAUCCUAUGUUUUGGUUUCCUAACUUAAAGUCUCUGUUGCAGUGACUUCAGCAGUUUUCUAGAUUAUGAGUCUUCUCUUAUUGUCAGUCUUGUUGUCUUAACUACGAGGCCAACCUGUUUGGGUGCUCCACUUCAUAUCCCUGUAUGGAGGGUAACAGCCUACAGAUUGCAGACAAGGCAAUGGACAAAAGUCUCUGUCUGAAAAGUUGACAGUUCUUUACUUAAAUGGGUAAAUAUGAAGUCUACUUCCAGAAGGGAAUAGUUAAAAGCGCUGGAUACUCACUCUUUAGUGCCAUUCUAGUUUUUGAUUCCCUGGGCUGGUAUCUUGGAAAACAUCAAAAGGUAAUGCCAAUUGCAUUAGAAUGUGAAGUGUGCUGUUCAGCGGAGACAUCAUUGCUGCCUGUAUUUAAGACUCCAAUCUUGAUAAUAGGUGACCUCAUUUGCCGCAACAAUAGAAUGUCUUCUCUAAGAACUGACUUUAUAUACUGAAGGCAUUGAAAUUUAUUUUCGACCUACAGCCAAAGCAAGGGAGAUAUGGCAAGCUACUAUGAUCCAUAUUGCCCAAGAAGGUGGCUGCUUUGUUCUAUCUUCAAAC